GUGAGACAGGAAUAAGGAUGCUCAGAACCAGGGUUGUGCGGGUUGUGCAUGAACUACAGCCAGCCUGACCAUGUGCUGCAGUCUUGGCCCACCUUCAGCCCCAAUGCAGGCCCUACAACAAUAAAAGAAAGAAGAGUGCCUCAGUGAAGACACAGACAAAAAGAUAUUGGUGAAAACUGCAAGACUUGUUCUUUAAAGAAGAAAUCUGAAUGAAAAAUUUCUGGUCUAAAACUGCAUUUUGAAGAAGAAGUCAUCUUGGAUGGCAUCCAUGCCACGCUCUUCCACUAUAUUUAAAAGUUGGUUUCAGAGCCUACCAAACUGCAAAAAGGCAGCAGCAGUGUGCAGAGAAGGCUUGCUACAACUCUGAAGAGAUACUGGAGGGUCCAAGCAGAUCCAACACUCAGUGCUCAGGAGACCUGCUGGCAAAGUCAUGUUUGCACAACACUUUUCUUUACAGUUCUGAUUUAACUGUUUACAAACCAGGCUGCAUGGCAGACAUUACAUCAUUUCUACACUACAAAUGCAACGUUUUCAAUCUUUGGGCAAAUACAUGCAUUGUUGUAGCUGCUUAAACUAAGAGUUUCAUGCAAAUGUCUCCAGACUUGCUGGUAAUGUGUUUCUGUCUCUGUGGGAUGCAGUUGUAAAGGAAAGCAAAAGUGACUUGUUUUCUUUUUCUUUUGGCUGCAGCAUGCUCUUAUUUUCUUCUAUUAGGACCUAGACUGCUGUCACUGAUUACCCUAACAGGCCUGAGGUUGGUCUGUGUGAAGCUUUUUCACCUUCUGUUUAUACGAACAAGGGAAAGAAUUUAAAGUCAGAAGGAAAAACAGCAACAGACUAAAUGGAAAGAGACAGUCUGUCAUCAGCAGAUGGCUGUGAGUCCCCAUUGUUCUACUGCCCAACCGUGCUCUUGUUCCAGACACCUCUAGGUGAGAUAUUAUGAGAUACUUCAACAUCUGAGGCUGUCCCUGGUGCAGGAUCCCCCACCUGUUUGCAGACAUUCUCCAUCAAAUCAUCCUGGACACCAGAGCAGUAUGUGCCACCACCCCAUGGCUGCUGGGAGGAACCUCUUUGUGGUGAUUCACCAUGCUGGGCACAAUGUUCUUUGCCUCCUCAGUGGUGACCAUUCGCCUUUAGAAAGAAAAAGAAAACGAAUUUCCAUGCUGGGCUUUGAAUCCAGAUUUACAUUCUUUCCCUGCAUGAAGUUGCCCAGCUCUGUCACUCUGUUUUGAUCCAUCGCAGGAGUAAGAUCCAGCAGCUUCCUUCCAAUGGGAACCUGGACCUGAAAGCCUCCCUUCUCCCUUCCCACACCAUCUGGGAGCUAGGAUUUUCCAUCUUUUGUUAAAGUAGUUCCUUACAAAAGGAGGAAAGGGUUGAGGGCAGUUCACUGCCUUUAUUUCACUUGGUAUGUGUUUGCCUUUGCUUCAACACAGGCUUGUUUUCAUGCCAAAUGACAGUUCUAUUUGUUCCCCCACCCCCUUUUUUUUGUGUAGCUUAUGUAGAACAUCUGGUUUUAAAAGUGUCGCAAUUUCUAAACAUAUUCUAACGCUCUUGGGAUCAGAAUAUCAACAACUGUCUAUUGCGGUAAACCGCAUGUCUGGAAAACAUUCCUGCAAACUGAGUUCUUAAAUAAACAUAAAGCAUCUAUAACACAUAAUGCAAAGCAACAUUCACUCAUAAACUCAAUAUUUAGACCAGAUGAGGUGCAAAAUAUGGUUUCUCUGGACUGAGCCACCACAAUUUGCAGAAACACUGAUGGGCUUUCUGUUGUAUACAAGAGAGGGCAGAGGUAUGGCAUGCAGAUUGCAGCCUUCCUUUAAGAGCUCGUUCUGCAUUUAAAUCCCAUCCUUAGGGGGUUGCUUCAGUUGGAGAAGGAAGAGCAGGGGUACACUGUCCCAAAAAUUUCUGUGGUUAUUAGAAAGUAGGAAUCCAAAAAGGAACUGCAAAGGACUGACACAUUAGAAAUGCCUAUAUCUGAUAAGCCUGCUGAUCUUGUGUAAUAUCUGCACCUAUGCUAAUUACCUGCAUGCAUGUGUCUGAAAUCCAGAGGCAAUUCAGAGAUAGCUUAAAGAUUAAAUAAACUGAAUAAGAUGGUGAAAGGAAAAUUGCAGUAAAUUGGUCUGAGUGGGAAGCUUUUGUUAUUUUCAAUCAUUAUUAUUAUUUAUAGGGUGUGGAAAGUGGAACCAUAAGCAACUUUAUAGAGAUAUGCAGUCAUACUUUAAAAAAAAUGGUUUCACUUUGAAACUCCUCUCCACAUUGGUUUCAGAAGCUCUACUUGUAAUGAGGAAUAGUACCAAAGCGAAUAAUCACUUCAAACC
ensembl:lncRNA